rnacentral:rRNA from 1 species
CCUACGGGAGGCAGCAGUAGGGAAUCUUCCGCAAUGGGCGAAAGCCUGACGGAGCAACGCCGCGUGAGUGAAGAAGGUCUUCGGAUCGUAAAACUCUGUUAUUAGGGAAGAACAAAUGUGUAAGUAACUAUGCACGUCUUGACGGUACCUAAUCAGAAAGCCACGGCUAACUACGUGCCAGCAGCCGCGGUAAUACGUAGGUGGCAAGCGUUAUCCGGAAUUAUUGGGCGUAAAGCGCGCGUAGGCGGUUUUUUAAGUCUGAUGUAAAAGCCCACGGCUAAACCGUGGAGGGUCAUUGGAAACUGGAAAACUGGAGUGCAGAAGAGGAAAGUGGAAUUCCAUGUGUAGCGGUGAAAUGCGCAGAGAUAUGGAGGAACACCAGUGGCGAAGGCGACUUUCUGGUCUGUAACUGACGCUGAGACGCGAAAGCGUGGGGAGCAAACAGGAUUAGAUACCCCUGUAGU